rnacentral:rRNA from 1 species
CCCUUAGACGUUCCGGGCCGCACGCGCGCUACACUGACCGGUGCAACAAGCAUCCGUCCUUGGCCGACAGGCCCGGGCAAUCUUUGAACGCCGGUCGUGAUGGGGAUAGACUUUUGCAAUUUUUGGUCUUCAACGAGGAAUUCCUAGUAAACGCAAGUCAUCAACUUGCAUUGAUUACGUCCCUGCCCUUUGUACACACCGCCCGUCGCACCUACCGAUUGAAUGGUCCGGUGAAGCCUCCGGAUUGGCGCGCACCUCGGUGCCGCCGAGAAGUUGGCUAAACCUUACCAUUUAGAGGAAGGUGAAGUCGUAACA